rfam:Picea glauca, whole genome shotgun sequence.
ACAUGCCUACAGCAUAGCUUCAAUGCAUCGGAUCCCAUUAGAACUCUGCAAUUAAACGCGCUCAGGCUAGAGUAGUAUUGGUAUGGGUUACCGCUCGAGAAGUCCUAGUGUUUUACAUGCC